rnacentral:sRNA from 1 species
UCCUAAAAGUUGGUAAAACAUGAUAACUC